rnacentral:rRNA from 1 species
UACAGAGGUCUCAAGCGUUGUUCGGAUUCAUUGGGCGUAAAGGGUGUGUAGGUGGCGCGCUAAGUCGGGUGUGAAAUUUCGGAGCUUAACUCCGAAACUGCAUUCGAUACUGGCGUGCUUGAGGACUGGAGAGGAGACUGGAAUUCAUGGUGUAGCAGUGAAAUGCGUAGAGAUCAUGAGGAAGACCAGUGGCGAAGGCGGGUCUCUGGACAGUUCCUGACGCUGAGACACGAAGGCUAGGGGAGCAAACGGG